UACGUAGGGGGCAAGCGUUGUCCGGAUUUAUUUGGGCGUAAAGAGCGUGUAGGCGGCCAGAUAGGUCAGCUGUGAAAACUCGAGGCUCAACCUCGAGAUGUCGGCUGAAACCAUCUGGCUAGAGUCCGGAAGAGGAGAAUGGAAUUCCCGGUGUAGCGGUGAAAUGCGCAGAUAUCGGGAAGAACACCCGUGGCGAAGGCGGUUCUCUGGGACGGUACUGACGCUGAGACGCGAAAGCGUGGGGAGCGAACAGG
rnacentral:rRNA from 1 species